AGCCUAUUCGCUCAACUGGUCGAGCACCGUACAACUGCGCGGAGAUGUAGGUUCAAAUCCUACAUAGGCUA
rnacentral:tRNA from 1 species